CAAAAAACUGAGGAUAGUUUAAGGGAAUUCUGUGACAACAUCAAGCAUACAAACAUUCACAUUAUAAGGGUAGCAGAAGGAGAAGAGAGAGAGCAAGGGAUUGAAAACAUAUUUGAAGAAAUAAUGAUUGGAAACUUUCCUAAUCUAGUGA